rnacentral:rRNA from 1 species
UGAGGAAUUUUGCGCAAUGGGAGCAAUCCUGACGCAGCAACGCCGCGUGGGUGAUGAAGGCCUUCGGGUCGUAAAGCCCUGUCAGGUGGGAAGAACACCAUGGGGACGAACAAGCUUCAUGGCUGACGGUACCACCAGAGGAAGCACCGGCUAACUCCGUGCCAGCAGCCGCGGUAAUACGGAGGGUGCGAGCGUUAUUCGGAAUUACUGGGCGUAAAGCGCGUGCAGGCGGUUUGGCAAGUCUGAUGUGAAAGCCCCGGGCUUAACCUGGGAAGUGCAUUGGAAACUGCCGGACUUGAGUACUGGAGAGGAAGGGGGAAUUCCCGGUGUAGAGGUGAAAUUCGUAGAGAUCGGGAGGAAUACCAGUGGCGAAGGCGCCCUUCUGGACGGCUACUGACGCUGAGACGCGAAAGCGUGGGGAGCAAACA